rnacentral:rRNA from 1 species
GACGAACGCUGGCGGCGUGCUUAACACAUGCAAGUCGAACGGUAAGGCCCUUCGGGGUACACGAGUGGCGAACGGGUGAGUAACACGUGGGUGAUCUGCCCUGCACUUCGGGAUAAGCCUGGGAAACUGGGUCUAAUGCCGGAUAGGACCACUGCCUGCAUGGGUGGGGGUGGAAAGCUUUUGCGGUGUGGGAUGGGCCCGCGGCCUAUCAGCUUGUUGGUGGGGUGAUGGCCUACCAAGGCGACGACGGGUAGCUGGCCUGAGAGGGUGACCGGCCACACUGGGACUGAGAUACGGCCCAGACUCCUACGGGAGGCAGCAGUGGGGAAUAUUGCACAAUGAGCGCAAGCCUGAUGCAGCGACGCCGCGUGGGGGAUGACGGCCUUCGGGUUGUAAACCUCUUUCAGCACCGACGAAGCGCAAGUGACGGUAGGUGCAGAAGAAGGACCGGCCAACUACGUGCCAGCAGCCGCCGUAA